rnacentral:rRNA from 1 species
CCUACGGGGUGCAGCAGUGGGGAAUAUUGGACAAUGGGCGAAAGCCUGAUCCAGCCAUGCCGCGUGUGUGAAGAAGGCCUUCGGGUUGUAAAGCACUUUCAGUGGGGAAGAAAGCCUUGGGGCUAAUACCCUCGAGGAAGGACAUCACCCACAGAAGAAGCACCGGCUAACUCCGUGCCAGCAGCCGCGGUAAUACGGAGGGUGCGAGCGUUAAUCGGAAUUACUGGGCGUAAAGCGCGCGUAGGCGGUCUGAUAAGCCGGUUGUGAAAGCCCCGGGCUCAACCUGGGAACGGCAUCCGGAACUGUCAGGCUAGAGUGCAGGAGAGGAAGGUAGAAUUCCCGGUGUAGCGGUGAAAUGCGUAGAGAUCGGGAGGAAUACCAGUGGCGAAGGCGGUCUUCUGGACUGACACUGACGCUGAGGUGCGAAAGCGUGGGUAGCAAACAGGAUUAGAUACCUUGUAGUC